rnacentral:lncRNA from 1 species
AAGGAUUUGAUCGUCAAUUGAGUUACCCCAACACCUAGUCACCAUUCGUCACUAUUUUAGAGUCGCAUCGUCCUUAGCCUUGCUCUGUUCUAACCAUUAUACCUUGAAUAUGAAAUUAGUCGUAAGUUUCAUUGUUUUAGUUUUUUUAUUUUAAGAUUUUUGACUACUCAUUGAGUUUCGUCUUUGAUUAAGCAAUAACCAUUACAUUUUGAUGCUAGAUUUGAAUUUUAAAGAGUUUGAGUCAAUGUCUAGCCAUUUGAACACUCAAAAUUAGGCGGUUUGGCACAACUUAGAUAAGGUUCUAAGCUUUCUUGAAGAAUUUCGGUGUUAUUAUUAAGUAGGGCAUGGUUUUUGGAUGCUAGGAUUCGAUAGUUUGAAGGCCAUUAAAGGAUUUUCCAUUGAAGUUAAGGUUACUUUGGUAAGUGCCUGUUAAGUGUUGGGGUUAUUUAAGUGAAAUUUCUUUGAGUUCUUACAUGCCCAUUGAAUCUAAGCAUUAAGAUUAGAUUACUCAUAAUACUCGAGUUCUAAAGUUGAAUGUUAGAGGUCAAGAAGGAACUUUCUUCUAGCUUUGAAGGUCAUUGAGUGUUGUUUCUACAUGUUUGAAACAUAAAUAGUUUGAGUGAUGUUAGGAAGUGCUUAAGUUUGACUCAUUAAUAUAAUGGCUAUAAAUCCCCAGCAUCAUCGAUAGUUGAAAUAAAAGCUUAUGAAAUUAAAAAACCCACUAAGAUUGACUUAAGUUGGAUGCUUAAAGCAUGUGGGGAAUGAUAAAGUUUAAUAAGAGAAGUGGGAAUUCGACUCAUCGAACCACAAAUAGCUUGAGUUGUCAUAAUGAAGUGUUUUAGAGAUAGUUGUGAUAGAGUCUUAUGAAGAUAAUUGAGAGACCUUAAUCGUUGUUUCAUGCCAAAUUAAAGUGGGGAAAGCAUAUAAUCCUAGGGGAUCGAGUUUUUUAGUGUAAGUGAUUUAUUUUCAAGUAUCUCUUUAUAAACCUAUAUAUGUUAUUAUAGUAUGUCAUGAUUGUGAAAAUUUCCACCAUGAUUGCUUUAUGAACUAAUAUGUUAGAAAUGUUUUCAACAUAUGAUUUUUGGUUUCCAUGAACUUUUAUAUUUCGAAAAUAUGGUUGAACCAGAACUUCUUAAUCAUGAUUUAGAUGACAAUUGGUUUACAAGAAUACCUCUUGAUUUGUUAUUAAAUUUGGAUGGUUGAAUGGAAGGUUAUUCUUAAAAUAUGUGUUGAUCGUUAAGAAUUGAAUAUGACUUUAUGAAAAUGUGUUGCUGACCAUGUUUGGCAUUUAAACAUGAAAUAUGUGAUUUUUAUGAAUGUUGGUGAUUACCCUAAAGGCUAAGUGAAUGUGUUUCCAUAGCACCACCUAUGGUUGUUGAUAACGUGGAGAAAUGCCCGUUAUUAUAGUCAUUUUAUUAGAAUAAUGAGGUCAAAAUGCAUAAGAAGAUUAUCAUAACGCGUAACUUGUGUUGUAAACACAUAAGUAUUUAGGAAUAUAACUUACAUAAGCAUGAUGCCUACUUUAUGCUAUUAUCAUGUUUAAAUGCAGGAUAAGUGGACAAGAAAGAAGCAAAUCGCAAAGAACACCUCACGCAUAGGUCAAGCGAUGGGAACUCACCGGACAACUAACACUUCCAGACAAGGAACCAUGUCAUCAUACGAGAAAAGCUCACUACAAAACAAGAAUGGUAGUUAGAGUGAUGUGACUUCCUAAGACUUAAAACGACGCUGACAAGAACAGAGGAAUAAAAGUUUCCUGCCUAAAGUUACCUAUAAAAGCACUUCAUCUUCAGUAAGACAACGGAGC